CCUACGGGAGGCAGCAGUGGGGAAUAUUGGACAAUGGGCGAAAGCCUGAUCCAGCCAUGCCGCGUGUGUGAAGAAGGCCUUCGGGUUGUAAAGCACUUUCAGUGGGGAAGAAAGCCUUGGGGCUAAUACCCUCGAGGAAGGACAUCACCCACAGAAGAAGCACCGGCUAACUCCGUGCCAGCAGCCGCGGUAAUACGGAGGGUGCGAGCGUUAAUCGGGAUUACUGGGCGUAAAGCGCGCGUAGGCGGUCUGAUAAGCCGGUUGUGAAAGCCCCGGGCUCAACCUGGGAACGGCAUCCGGAACUGUCAGGCUAGAGUGCAGGAGAGGAAGGUAGAAUUCCCGGUGUAGCGGUGAAAUGCGUAGAGAUCGGGAGGAAUACCAGUGGCGAAGGCGGCCUUCUGGACUGACACUGACGCUGAGGUGCGAAAGCGUGGGUAGCAAACAGGAUUAGAUACCCUAGUAGUC
rnacentral:rRNA from 1 species